CCGCAGGGUGGAUUUAGUGUGGGACUGGUGAAUGGCGACCUACCGAGCAACGGAACUGUGCUCCUGGGGAAUCCCCAUCUGUUGGGCUUCCUGAUCAAGGUGCCUCUACUCAAGUCAGGAGACAGGUGAACUGCUGGAAACCCGUCAUGCUGAGAGACCUUCUGUCUGGGACUGACAAGAUCACAACUGUGUAAUUGUUGUGAUGAGUCUUUGUCAAAUCAGCCACAGAGACAAAAAAUGUAACACAUAUUUAUUUACAAGUUGUUUUUCUGCCUAAACCUAACCUGCAUUUAACAUACAUCAGAAUAUUAUAAAGGGAUAAUCAUGUUCAGCAGUGACAGUUAUCAUGUGCUGCUUCCAUCUCUUAUGGGUAUUUAUUAAAAGGUAGUGACAAACUUCCUGUAUGGUUGUUUCGGUUGGAGGACUUAAUUACAUAAUUACAUUUUUUUUAAUCUCAGGCUGAAAGUAAUACAGGUAACCCCUCAAAUGUGUAAACAAAACCAUGUUACUUCAAAGAAUUAAUUAUUAUAGCUAAAUGGCAGUAUCAGUGCUGUGGAAUACUUAUCCCUUCCCUGGAGACACUGCUCCGUCUUAUGGCUGUCCAAGUAGCAGCUCCACUCCACUGCUGCAGAAAAUGUUGACUUUUCUAUUUUAUCAGGCGGUAACCCUUGGGUGACCCAAAUUUAGUGCACUUGAGUGUUUUUGUACACGCAUUAUUAUGACUGAAUAUUAAUGAUUGAACAGCUGGAUGAAUGGAUGAGAGAAAGUCUCUGAUGAUUGAAAGAAAACACGAUGUUGGCAGAAGUAUUUCUCGGGUAAAAUCUUUCCCCAGACUAGUAAAUCAUAGUUCAAACAAGACGACAAGUCUGAAGCCCAGUUUACAGUAGAUUAACCACCCAACCUAAUUCUAGCACCAGUUUUACACAUUAAGAGGAUUGGAAGAAGAAAUCUUCUUGUUCUGUAUUAGCUCCGUGAUAGAAGGGGAUCAUUUGUGUGUUAGCGGGUUGUUGACAAAAUCUUCCUGUAAUAUUAGAUAAACACAGAUGAAACAUACUGCAUGUACAAGAUUAAAAAGUGGUUGUGCAUAAACACUAUUUGUUUGGCACAAGUUUCUCCUCUUUUCUUAAUACGCUGCAUCCGAAUAUGCUCUGGUGCUCCUCAGUCACAUCCCCAUCCAUCAAACGGCAGGAGAUUCUCCAGACAGGGUUCACUCUUUUACCCAUCUGUCAAUCAGUGCCCACAGGCAGACAGCCCAGGCUCCUCCUGCCAGACCACACAACACCUGCCACCUAAUUGCUUGGCCACAAAAGCCCAGCCUUCACCUGGAUUCUUGGCCCACAUGCCCUAACACUAUAGGGAACCCAGCAUCGAGCGUCUUACCCUGCUUGAUUUUUGGGACUGUGGAUCUCACUGUUCACUUAUAGGUCAAACACAUACUGCAAACACAAAGCGAGUGUAUUGUAUUCAUGAGCCGCGUUGUAACCAGUGAAGGGUUGCAUUAAAAUAAAUCAUUUUUCAUCUUUCAUUAGCUAAGCAUGAUGGAUUGGUGUGUGCUGUUUGUUAUAUUUUACCUCCUCUGGUGUUCAAACCAUAUGAAAAAGCCCAGUGGUAGGUGGGAACAAAUGGCUAACACGUAAAUCCUUAAGAAAGCUGAGAAAACUAAGAGCAGACUGCGGGAUACUGAAUCAUACUGAAUCUGAAAAAGUGUACCAGCUGUCUCAGCAGAGUUUCUACAUGAACUGUGAACCUGCAGGUACUUUCUUAAUAAAUAGCUCCUGGAUAACUCUGAAUGCUAAAUGGAGCACAGGAACUUUACAUUAAUUUCUCAUUAUGUCACUGGAAAUUAGUUUUCAUGAAAUAAAGAACCCAAAUGUAUUAGCCCCUGACUUUUUUGGCCCGUUGUUUGUUUUGUAACCUACAUUUUUGUCCUGACCCUAAACAUUCGUGUGAGUACAGUUUAGCCCGCAAUAAACCGCCUGGUACAUCACUUUAGGCAAACUUUGAAUAGCACAUAAUUAUAAUAAGAUGUUUCACCAAAAAAAACCUCAUAUAAUAUAGAAAAAUUAUGAUUAGGAUGUGAUGAGUAAGAUUUUAAUCUCCAGUUUCUAAAAUGUCACUUGCUCAGCAAUCCUUACCUUUGACAACAAUGUCUCAUCUUCCUCUCCUGCCGUGUCUUUCUUAUAUGUUUUUCCAUCACCCUGUGCCACAAAUGUAUGUUUUUUUUCUCUCUGCCAAUUAAAAAUCGUUGCUCCAUUUCACUCACCCGUCUGCUGUAGGGCUGCCUAGAAGCUGAAGUGCCAUGCUGGCAAUGUUAUAUCUGCACCUUGAGCAUGAGAAGGAAAAAUCCAUACGUUAAAAGUCAUGUGAUGUCAUUAUGUUCUUAUUACUGAGCGAGUGGAAGUACAUGAAAAAUUACAAGUAACGUCUUUGACAUUGUGUAUUAACCUGCCUAUCAUAUUUAAUUGCUCAUUAAUUGAAUAUGUCAGACCACCAUGCUGGCCCACUUUAACCUCUUGGUAAAUCCUACUGGAGUGAAGGUUGCAUCCUCUCUCCUAGCAUGUAGCAGGAGCCAGGGCAGCCAGAAGCAGAGAUGCACUGCAGCACACGGAACAAAAAGAAGCCGAGAAGUAACUAAGAAAAAAAAUCUGAGUGAAAAUAAGUCCUCUUUUUCUUGAAGUGUUCUGGAGUAAAAGCAUAAGUGACUGAGAGAUGGGGAAGCUGUCUGUCAGAGUGAAUUUACUGCUAAGGUAUGGCGUUGGCAUAUCUAUCUGAUAUCUAAGUGGGUAUCUUUCUCAUUGUCUGGUGCAAAUUGAAGAUGCUGAAUCACUACCGUGCUGUAUAUAUGUGUACAGCAUGUACAGCAAGGAGGAUAUAUUUUAUUGGUUCUAUAGGAGAAUUUAAAUGCUAGCUAAAGCUCUGUUUUGUUGUACAUAAAAGGCUAUUGUAGUACCAAGAUAUGUUCUGUAAAACUUGUGUUAAGUAUUUCACUAUAAGCAAAGUCAUGUCCAAGUGACGAGAUGACGUCAGAGAGGUGCGUGCCUGCGUGCACGAGAUUGUUAUCGUUUUCUCUUGUGAGCAUGCGCAAUAAACGGCCAGUGUGGUUCCCAGGCCAAAAUGGAA